GCAGGCUGUGAAGAGGAUCAUCCGCUACGUUGCGGGGACUCUCGACCACGGUCUCUACUACCCGAGGUGUCCUGGCAAGGCACACUUCGUCGGGUACAGCGACAGCGACCACGCCGGCGACAUCGACACCAGCAAGAGCACGAGCGGGAUUCUCUUUUUCCUCGGCGAGUGCCUCGUUAGCUGGCAGUCAAUCAAGCAGCAGGUGGUGGCCCUGUCCAGCUGCGAGGCCGAGUACAUGGCAGCAUCCGCCGCUUCGACCCAGGCGCUCUGGCUUGCUCGACUGCUUAGUGAUCUCCUCGGCAGAGAUACUGGAGCGGUGGAGCUCAGGGUGGAUAGCAAGUCCGCUCUGGCCCUGGCAAAAAACCCCGUUUUUCACGAACGGAGCAAGCACAUCCGAGUGAGGUACCAUUUCAUCCGAAGCUACUUGGAGGAAGGGAGCAUCAAGGCGAGCUACAUCAACACCAAGGACCAGCUUGCGGAUUUGCUCACCAAACCCCUUGGGAGGAUCAAGUUCCUUGAGCUUUGCUCCCGGAUCGGGAUGGCUCAACUCUCCCACAAGACGGCGCACAAGACUUAGGGGGAGAAUGUAGGAAUAAGUCUUGGCUGGUUGGUCUUGGUCUUGUGGUGCCUUUUUCCUGCUUUUCAGCUUUCUAGGACAGCAUCUCUACUUUCAGUUUGGAUGCUCUAGGACAGUUAGGACAGCAGUUUGUUGAGAUGCUCUAGGACAGUUUGUUGGGAUGCUCUGCUCUAGGACAGUUUGUUGGGAUGCUGACAGCACCCUCUUAGACUAGCAUGGCUGCAUGGCUGCUACAAGCAGCUAUAAAUAUGUAUCCAAUCCUCUUUGGGAGGACAUGGCUUUUGUGUUUAGUGAAUGAAGAAAACCAGAAAAUUGCCCCAUCUCGAGUGCCAUCCUCUUCUCAAUGAGAGUAACCAUUGAAAUUCUAACAUUUAUCUCUUGAGUGGAAUAGUGGGGGUCCUGAGGAACUAGUACAAGAUUGUCAUGCGAAGGUGCUAGAUGCUCUUAAACCUCAUGGUGGGCUGGAGAUGCUAAGAAUUGUUAACUAUAAAGGCAGAGGUGCACCAACAUGGAUGAAAGAACUUAGUUUGUUUCAGCAACAUCUGACUGAGCUCCAUCUUGUUGGCUGUACAUUGUGUACCGACUUCCCUGAAUUUUCGCAUUUGAGGGCCCUUCAAAUUCUUCACUUGAUAAAGGUAGAUAAAUUACAGAGCAUGUGCAGCAAAAUGGCAUAUGUGGAAUUUCCAGCAUUAAAGAAACUCCAAUUACAUGAUUUAGAGAGCUUCGAGAGCUGGGUGGCAACACCAGGAAAAGAAGAGCUGUCCUUUCCAGUGCUUGAGGAGAUUGAUAUUAGGAACUGUCCGAAGUUGACGAGUCUGCCUGGACCACCAAAGGUCAAGGUUGUCAAGCUAAACGAAGACAUGGCACAGCUAUCCCUUUCCCUAAUCACAUCCACUAGAUACAUGUCGUCAUGUCUGUUUUAAAAUUGUCAGUUAGAGACAGUGAAACAACACUGGAGCUUGAUCAGAAUCAUGAAUUAUCAAUUUCAGUAAUCAAAAUUACAGGAUGCUGCUUUCUCUUCACCUCAAGUCCAUUGCAACCUGUGGUUGGGAUUUGGAAAUGGUUUGGACAACUUCAAAAAUUGAAAAUUAGUCGGUGCGAUGCUCUCAUCCACUGGCCAGAGGAAGAGUUCCUAAGCUUGAUAUCCUUGAAGGAAUUGAUCAUUGUUUUAUGCUCUAAUAUAAUUGGCCGUGCACAAGUGAAUGGAACGGCAACACAAGCAAGGGAUCAGCUCCUGCCACAGCUAACAAAACUAGAGAUAAGACAUUGCAAAAGCUUAACAUAGCUGUUCGUCCUUCCUCGAUCUAUAACAUACAUAUGUAUUAGAGGGUGUCCUAACUUCCAGUGCUUAUGGGGGAGGGGGACAGGUGAUACAGAGUCCGAUUAAUUUACAGGUGGAGCAUGGCAAUGACCUCACGCCCACAAGUGUCUCAGAGAAGCCAGGAAAUAACUAUUUACCUUGCCUAGAUACCCUAUUCAUAAUGGGUUCCGAUAAGUUGGCCAUGCUUCGAAAUCUGCCUCCAUCUCUCAAGAACUUGUCAAUUUAUCACUGUCCAGAGCUUCGCUCCAUAUCAGGGAAUUUGGAUCAACUCGUGGACGUGAGUAUUGGGGGCUGCAAUAAGUUGGACUCGCCUGAUUGGGGGAACCUACCUGCAUUAGAAGACUUUGGACUUUUGAAUUGCAAACGUCUGACAUCAUUACCUGGUAAUCUUGGGAAUUACUCUGCUCUCAGGAGGGUUCUCGUCAAAUACUGCCCAGCCAUAAAUAUGAAGCCUCUUUAUAAGCACCUACCAUGACUUGUCACAUGCUCACUCAAGCGAUCCUAUUGAAGGGCCUAAACUACGGGAUCCAAGAUCUUGGAAAUAUGCUAUUCCUGGGUGUCAAAAUUGGACGUAUCAGCGCCACCAGAAUUACUGAACACAGAUCCGGCCAGAAGCAGUGAAGCAUUGGCUCACGAACAAACGUUUUGGGAACCUCCUGCAUUAUAUUUUUGGCGGUUUUGCAUGGUCCGUUGCGAUGAAUGGAGGCCGCUGUGAGGGCUCAAGUGUUGACGAAAUAAAAUCCAUGAUUAAAAAAGAUAUGGGGAAGUUCCAGUUGAAAUGUUCCCCCUUUUUUUUUCCAUUCAGUGGAAGGAUGCUGGUUCGAAGCAAACACUCUUGUUGCCUGGUGCCGACAUAAUGUUGUCUUUUUGUUUACAUGAUAUUCUGGCACGAACUGGAGCUCUUGUAACAGUGUCGUCAUAUAGCCUUUGCUGAUCGUGUAGUAUUUUGCUUCUGUUUCUUAUUCAUAUCUGGUCGCCUGCUGCCAAAUGUAGGAGGUGCUUUCCUCUCAGAAAGGCCUCCAUCUCUUGUAAACUUGGUUAAAGUGCAGGAGACCCUUCUGGCUGGGUAAUAAUGUUUGACUGCAUAGCAUAUUCUUUAGAUUGGUUUUGCAAAACCACGGGAAAAUAUGUAGUGCAAACCACAUAUGUAGUGGAAACAUGGAUACCGUUGGAUCGAGAAAUGGACGUCCGAGAUUCGUCCACGUCACCAUGAGUUAAAAUUUAACUCCUAGUAAAAUUUCAACUCAUGAGUGAAUCUGCGAGUUAAAUUUUAACUCAGGGUGACGUGGACGAAUCUCGAACGUUUAUUUCUCGAUCCAAAGGUAGUUUCCAUGUUUUCACUAUAUAUUAUAUGUGGUUUGCAUUAGAUAUUUUCCCGACUAUAUAUCG